AUUGAACGCUGGCGGCAGGCCUAACACAUGCAAGUCGAGCGGAGCGGCGGACGGGUGAGUAAUACCUAGGAAUCUGCCUGGUAGUGGGGGCUAACGUUCGGAAACGGACGCUAAUCCCGCAUACUAUCAGCUUAGUCUCGGUCGGAUUAGCUAGUGGGUGAGGUAAUGGCUCACCAAGGCUACGAUCCGUAACUGGUCUGAGAGGAUGAUCAGUCACACUGGAAUGGAGACACGGUCCAGACUCCUACGGGAGGCAGCAGUGGGGAAUAUGGGACAAUGGGCGAAAGCGUGAGCCAGCCAUGCAGCGUGUGUGAAGAAGGUCUUCGGAUUGUAAAGCACUUUAAGUGGGGAGGCGUUACCGACAGAAUAAGCACCGGCUAACGCUGUGCCAGCAGCCGCGGUAAUUC
rnacentral:rRNA from 1 species